AAUCAGCGAGGACUUGGGCCAGGUUGAGUACAUUUUGACUGACAAAACUGGUACUCUAACAGAAAAUAAGAUGAUCUUUAGAAGGUGCUGUAUCAGUGGCAUUUUCUAUGGAAAUGAGACAGGAGAUGCCUUAAAAGAUGCAAGGUUGCUCAAUGCUGUUGCAAGCGGUUCUUCUGAUGUUAUACGGUUCCUUACAAUAAUGGCAAUAUGUAAUACAGUAAUACCAGUACAGAGGUGAUUUUGCUUCUAUAUGUAUUUUUUUUUUCUGUUUUUGAUGGUUUUACAAUCUUUUGAUUUUCCCAUAGAUUAAGAAGACUACCAUUUAUUGUGAUAGCAUGUAGGAGAUAUGAAAGAAAAAUAAAUGCAAUUAUUUACGGAUUCUGAUCUUUGCAUAUUUCUUUUGCUCUUUGUAGCAAAAGUGGUGAUAUCAUGUACAAGGUGCAGUCCCAGGAUGAGGAUGUACUUGUCCAAGCUGCUGCUCAAUUCCAUAUGGUUUUCUUCAAUAAAAGUGGAAAUAUUCUUGAGAUCAAGUUCAAUGCUUCUACACUUCGAUAUGAGGUUUUGGAAACUCUGGAGUUUACUUCGGAUAGGAAAAGAAUGUCAAUUGUGGUGAAGGAUUGCCAGAAUGGGAAUAUUAUUCUUUUAUCAAAGGGUGCAGAUGAAGCAAUUCUUCCGUAUG